UAUGGUUGCCCUCUGAUAUGUGAUGGUUUCUUAGCAGGAAUAUUCGUUGGGCCCGGCGAUGCUUGCGCUGGAUAUCCUGGUGUAUACGUCGACGUCAGAGCAUAUAAGGGGUGGCUCCAAACGACAGCUAAAUAUAUUAGUAAAGGAUACAAGAAACUAACAACCAACACAGCCAUUAUUUUACAAAGAGGAGUUUAUUUAAAAUUGUUUUUUGUGCUGAGUUUGCAGUUCAGGAACACAUUGAUCUUAUCAUAAAAUUUUGUGUACGUUUAAAGAUAUUAUUAAUUUACUUAUUAAGCUAGUUUUCGAUCUAACUCUAAAGUUGCCAAUCAUAGCAAGCAUCGAAGGCUGAAUAUGUUGAGUAAAUAUUUGAUUUCAU